GUGAGGACUAGAGAGAAGAAGAAUAUUGCUGUCUUUGAGGAAGCUAGUAGCUACUGCUUCACACACUCGUUUUUGCUGGCAAACACCAUCUAAUCUUUUCAUUUCAACCUCUUUUUUGUUAGCAAGGACAAUACAGACAAAAGGACAGAAGCAGCAUUUAUGUAUUUUGUUAUGUAAUUCGGUAGAAUGGGAGUUAUUGAUCACAGAGCGAAUGGAGAACCUGGACGUAAUUCUGUUGAUGUCUGCCUGUGUGACUGGCGGGGAUGUAGGCAAAGAACGUGGAUCUAUGUAAGGAGGGCUUUGAUCAAGAGACCAUGUGCCAAAAAUCAACUGGAAAAGACGUCCGAGACCGGAGGCGAGGAAUUGGAUGGUCAGAAACCAGGCUGUUGGUGCUGCUGAGGCUGUUGGUUUUCCUGCUUCACUGGUGGAGGAAGUGCAGAGCAAAUUGUGCAGCGGUGGACUUCACUAC